GUGAAAAAUGUUAUACGUAUCUUGAGAAUGAAAUGUGAGUAUGAAUAUAAGUGAUGAUAUUUUAUUUAUACGAGAAAGAUAUGUGUUUAAAUAUGUCAUUUUCCAAAAUGUGCUCAUUUGGCUAAAUGAAGUUAUGAAAUGAAUGUCAUAUGAUAAUUGAAUUGAAUAAACUUGAGGAAGCUAAAUUUAGUUAUGUAAGUGAUUAUAUUAUUGAAUGGUGGUAAGUUGAAAUGAGAACAUGUUAUAAAUUUGAGAAAAGUUUAUGUUUGGCCUGUGAGAUAGCAUAUCAUGCUUAUGACAUUGAAUUGAAAUUAUAUGUUAUGAUAAGUUUAUUAAGAUACGAGCUUACUAAGCUUUAUAGCUUACUUUAUUUCCUUUUUAAUGUUUAUAGUGUCUCGAAGACUCGCUCGGAUUGGAAGUCGUAGGAGAUCUCAUCACACUAUCCGGUUAUCGCUUUGGUAAAUAAAAGCUUUGAGUUUUUUGUUAUGUGGCAUGUAUAGGCUAGUUUUGAUAUAUUUGGUUUAAAAUUUGUAUGUGUAUAGCCAUGCGAAAAUGGCUUGAUCAUAAUGCUAAUGUUGGUUAUAUGAUUCGGCAAUGAGGAAGGGUAGUAAGAUGUAUAUUCAGCUUAUUAGUAAACUUAUUUUGGAAGCAUGAAAAAGUGGUAUAAUGUGGCUUGUUAAUGUGGUAAAAUGAUGGUUAUAUUUUGGGUAUGCUUGAUGGUCAUUUGAAUAACUAUAAGUGAUAUAUUGUUUUGAUGUUAAGUUAUGAGAUAGCAUAUUUAGCUUAAAAGAUUAAGUGAUGUUAAUAUGGUUAAUGAUUCGGUUAGAUAAUAAUGUUGGUAUGUGUUUAUAAUUGCUAUGUAAUGAUUAUGCUAUGCUAUGUGAAUUUGGCUAUUUUGUGUGGCUUAUUAACGACCUAUGUUUUGAAGUAUAAAUUGCCUUGUAAAUUAAUUUGUGAAUGAUGGAAAUUUCU
rnacentral:lncRNA from 1 species